ACGCUGGCGGCACGCCUAAUACAUGCAAGUCGAACGAAGUAGCAAUACUUAGUGGCAGACGGGUGAGUAACAUGUGGGUAUCUUCCCUUUGGUGAGGAAUAACACGAGGAAACUUGUGCUAAUACCUCAUAAGUCUUUACGGAGAAAGCUUUAUGCGCCAAUGGAUGAGCCCGCACUUGAUUAGUUUGUUGGUGGGGUAAUGGCCUACCAAGACUGUGAUCAAUAGCUGAUUUGAGAGGAUGAUCAGCCACAUUGGGACUGAGACACGGCCCAAACUCCUACGGGAGGCAGCAGUAGGGAAUCUUGCACAAUGGAGGAAACUCUGAUGCAGCGAUGCCGCGUGAGUGAAGAAGGCCUUUGGGUUGUAAAGCUCUUUCGUCGGGGAAGAAAAUGACUGUACCCGAAUAAGAAGGUCCGGCUAACUUCGUGCCAGCAGCCGCGGUAAUACGAAGGGACCUAGCGUAGUUCGGAAUUACUGGGCUUAAAGAGUUCGUAGGUGGUUAAAAAAGUUGGUGGUGAAAGCCCAGAGCUUAACUCUGGAACGGCCAUCAAAACUUUUUAGCUAGAGUUUGAUAGAGGAAAGCAGAAUUUCUAGUGUAGAGGUGAAAUUCGUAGAUAUUAGAAAGAAUACCAAUUGCGAAGGCAGCUUUCUGGAUCAUUACUGACACUGAGGAACGAAAGCAUGGGUAGCGAAGAGGAUUAGAUACCCUCGUAGUCCAUGCCGUAAACGAUGUGUGUUAGAUGUUGGAAAUUUAUUUUCAGUAUCGCAGCGAAAGCAAUAAACACACCGCCUGGGGAGUACGACC
rnacentral:rRNA from 1 species